UGGGGAAUAUUGGACAAUGGGCGAAAGCCUGAUCCAGCCAUGCCGCGUGUGUGAAGAAGGCCUUUUGGUUGUAAAGCACUUUAAGCGAGGAGGAGGCUACUUAGAUUAAUACUCUAGGAUAGUGGACGUUACUCGCAGAAUAAGCACCGGCUAACUCUGUGCCAGCAGCCGCGGUAAUACAGAGGGUGCGAGCGUUAAUCGGAUUUACUGGGCGUAAAGCGUGCGUAGGCGGCUUUUUAAGUCGGAUGUGAAAUCCCUGAGCUGAACUUAGGAGUUGCAGUCGAUACUGGGAAGCUAGAGUAUGGGAGAGGAUGGUAGAAUUCCAGGUGUAGCGGUGAAAUGCGUAGAGAUCUGGAGGAAUACCGAUGGCGAAGGCAGCGAUCUGGCCUAAUACUGACGCUGAGGUACGAAAGCAUGGGGAGCAAACAGG
rnacentral:rRNA from 1 species